rfam:Gossypium arboreum cultivar AKA8401 contig_47356_1, whole genome shotgun sequence.
UGCUGAUCGGAUUCACAUUUAAUUGGGUGCAGAGACAGCUAGGAGGUUUGCCUAGAAGCAGCCACCCUUGAAAGAGUGCGUAAUAGCUCACUGAUUGAGCGGUCUUGCACUGAAGAUGAACAGGGCUAAGCA